CAUGUCUCAGUACAGCCAAAUUAAGGUGAAACCGCGAAAGGCUCAUUAAAUCAGUUAUGGUUCCUUAGAUCGUACCCACAAUUACUUGGAUAACUGUGGUAAUUCUAGAGCUAAUACAUGCAAAUAGAGCUCCGACCGGAGACGGAAGGAGUGCUUUUAUUAGAUCAAAACCAAUCGGUGGCGGGUUCGCGCUCGUCAUCGUACAACUUGGUGACUCUGAAUAACUUUACGCUGAUCGCACGGUCUCGCACCGGCGACGCAUCUUUCAAAUGUCUGCCUUAUCAACUGUCGAUGGUAGGUUCUGCGCCUACCAUGGUCGUAACGGGUAACGGGGAAUCAGGGUUCGAUUCCGGAGAGGGAGCCUGAGAAACGGCUACCACAUCCAAGGAAGGCAGCAGGCGCGCAAAUUACCCACUCCCGGCACGGGGAGGUAGUGACGAAAAAUAACGAUACGGGACUCAUCCGAGGCCCCGUAAUCGGAAUGAGUACACUCUAAACCCUUUAACGAGGAUCCAUUGGAAGGGCAAGA
rnacentral:rRNA from 1 species